rnacentral:rRNA from 1 species
CGACGAAGUAGGUGAGGAAGGUGGGGAUGACGUCAAAUCAGCACGGCCCUUACGUCCAGGGCUACACACGUGUUACAAUGGCCAGUACAGAGGGCAGCCACCCGCGAGGGGGCGCUAAUCCUAAAAGCUGGUCCCAGUUCGGAUCGGAGUCUGCAACCCGACUCCGUGAAGCUGGAUUCGCUAGUAAUCGCGCAUCAGCCACGGCGCGGUGAAUACGUUCCCGGGCCUU